GGUCCGAUCUAUAUCCGAGAUAUUUGAUCGGAGGCUUGAAAUUUCUUAUCCUUUUUUUUUUUUUUUAUGAUUGUGACAGUUCAUGGGAAGAUGAUCCAUACGGAUGGGUCUCAUCUGGUGACAGUGGAGCUUCACUGAACAGAUAGGUUGCAAAGCACAGGUUAUCAGAUGAUUUCGCUGUAAUGGACAUCUCCCCAUGAACUGUCACAAUCAUAAAAAAAAGGAUAAUAAAUUUCAAGCCUCCGAUCAAAUAGAUCGGAUAUAGAUCGGAUC
rnacentral:pre_miRNA from 1 species